UGUCAAGAUAGCCAAAGAGACUGC
rnacentral:siRNA from 1 species